GUUUCAGGGCGUGGUGAAAGUCCACACCGGCGGUGAACACAUUCGAUGUGCAAGUCCGCGAGCCAUUUGGCAGAACCGGUUGGAAUCCGGUACCGACGGUAUAGUCCGGAUGAAAGAAA
rnacentral:ncRNA from 1 species